rnacentral:rRNA from 1 species
UACGAAGGGGGCUAGCGUUGUUCGGAAUUACUGGGCGUAAAGCGCGCGUAGGUUGCUCGACAAGUCAGUGGUGAAAGCCCAGAGCUUAACUCUGGAACUGCCAUUGAAACUGUCGAGCUGGAAUCUCAGAGGGGAUAGCGGAAUUCCAAAUGUAGGGGUGAAAUCCGUAGAUAUUUGGAGGAACACCGGUGGCGAAGGCGGCUAUCUGGAUGAGUAUUGACACUGAGGCUCGAAAGCGUGGGGAUCAAACAGG